AUUGAACGCUGGCGGCAUGCUUUACACAUGCAAGUCGAACGGCAGCGCGGGCUUCGGCCUGGCGGCGAGUGGCGAACGGGUGAGUAAUGCAUCGGAACGUGCCCAGUAGUGGGGGAUAGCCCGGCGAAAGCCGGAUUAAUACCGCAUACGACCUGAGGGUGAAAGCGGGGGACCGAAAGGCCUCGCGCUAUUGGAGCGGCCGAUGUCGGAUUAGCUAGUUGGUGGGGUAAAGGCUUACCAAGGCGACGAUCCGUAGCUGGUCUGAGAGGACGACCAGCCACACUGGGACUGAGACACGGCCCAGACCCCUACGGGAGGCAGCAGGGGGGAAUUUGGGAAAAGGGGGGCAACCCUGAUCCAGCCAGGCGGGGGGGGGGAAAAAGGCCUUCGGGUUGUAAACCGGUUUUGUUCGGGAAGAAAUCCUUUGGGCUAAAACCCCGGGGGGAGGACGGUACCGGAAAAAGAAACACCGGCAAACUACGU
rnacentral:rRNA from 1 species